GCCACAAAUACCUUUUAAAUCUACCCCAGAAUUCCAAAAUCCCAACCCAGCACAGAAUAUUACAUAGCAAAUCAAAGUUCCCAGCAAACAAACAGACAGAGAUGUUAACUAGUUAUAGACAUAUACUCUUACACCCUUUCAGUGAACAAGUACUUUUACAGUCUUGGGAUCUUGAGCAUAUAACAGGAACAUCGCCCAAGUCCCCUGAUGGGGGCCUGACAGGAACAGAUGUGGGGGCCUCCCUUUCCCACAUCCUAGGACAGGAUUCUUGACCUAUGUCUCAUCCAGAUAGAAACGGUACUCAUCACAAACAAACAAACAAAUCCAAAACCAAAAACCAAGAAAACCAAGGCCAGAAGUACCCUCUGACGUUUCAGGGGUACCAAGGAAGGAGAAGUUAGGCCGCGUCCAGCCCUUCUCACAAUCCACCACCAGUGACCAGUCCCUGCUCACUGGUCUACCAUCCAUUUAACAUUUCUCUUUCCUCCCAUCACACCAAAGCCAUGCUUUCCAGUUAGUUAGAACUCUUAGCCUUAAUUUUUAGGUGACAUGUAAAUAAUUAACAUUCCUCAGAU